rnacentral:rRNA from 1 species
GACGGGUGAGUAACACGUGGGUAACCUACCUAUAAGACUGGAAUAACUCCGGGAAACCGGGGCUAAUGCCGGAUAACAUGUUGAACCGCAUGGUUCUACAGUGAAAGACGGUCUUGCUGUCACUUAUAGAUGGACCCGCGCCGUAUUAGCUAGUUGGUGGGGUAACGGCCUACCAAGGCGACGAUACGUAGCCGACCUGAGAGGGUGAUCGGCCACACUGGAACUGAGACACGGUCCAGACUCCUACGGGAGGCAGCAGUAGGGAAUCUUCCGCAAUGGGCGAAAGCCUGACGGAGCAACGCCGCGUGAGUGAUGAAGGUCUUCGGAUCGUAAAGCUCUGUUGUUAGGGAAGAACAAAUGUGUAAGUAACUGUGCACAUCUUGACGGUACCUAACCAGAAAGCCACGGCUAACUACGUGCCAGCAGCCGCGGUAAUACGUAGGUGGCAAGCGUUAUCCGGAAUUAUUGGGCGUAAAGCGCGCGUAGGCGGUUUUUUAAGUCUGAUGUGAAAGCCCACGGCUCAACCGUGGAGGGUCAUUGGAAACUGGAAAACUUGAGUGCAGAAGAGGAAAGUGGAAUUCCAUGUGUAGCGGUGAAAUGCGCAGAGAUAUGGAGGAACACCAGUGGCGAAGGCGGCUUUCUGGUCUGCAACUGACGCUGAUGUGCGAAAGCGUGGGGAUCAAACAGGAUUAGAUACCCUGGUAGUCCACGCCGUAAACGAUGAGUGCUAAGUGUUAGGGGGUUUCCGCCCCUUAGUGCUGCAGCUAACGCAUUAAGCACUCCGCCUGGGGAGUACGGUCGCAAGACUGAAACUCAAAGGAAUUGACGGGGACCCGCACAAGCGGUGGAGCAUGUGGUUUAAUUCGAAGCAACGCGAAGAACCUUACCAAAUCUUGACAUCCUUUGACCGCUCUAGAGAUAGAGUUUUCCUCUUCGGAGGACAAAGUGACAGGUGGUGCAUGGUUGUCGUCAGCUCGUGUCGUGAGAUGUUGGGUUAAGUCCC